GAUGAACGCUGACAGAAUGCUUAACACAUGCAAGUCAACUUGAAUUUGGGUUUUUAACUUAGGUUUGGGUGGCGGACGGGUGAGUAACGCGUAAAGAACUUGCCUCACAGGUAGGGACAACAUUUGGAAACGAAUGCUAAUACCUAAUAUUAUGAUAAUAGGGCAUCCUAUAAUUAUGAAAGCUAUAAGCGCUGUGAGAGAGCUUUGCGUCCCAUUAGCUAGUUGGAGAGGUAACGGCUCACCAAGGCGAUGAUGGGUAGCCGGCCUGAGAGGGUGAUCGGCCACAAGGGGACUGAGACACGGCCCUUACUCCUACGGGAGGCAGCAGUGGGGAAUAUUGGACAAUGGACCGAGAGUCUGAUCCAGCAAUUCUGUGUGCACGAUGAAGUUUUUCGGAAUGUAAAGUGCUUUCAGUUGGGAAGAAACAAAUGACGGUACCAACAGAAGAAGU
rnacentral:rRNA from 1 species